GAGUUGUACCCCCUCUUCUGCCUUCAGGGAGUGAAGGCAGAAGAGGGGGUAGAAGGUUAUAUUGAAAAAGGCAGGGUCAAUACAUUUCACCUGUCAGUGGUUUUAAUGUUGUUGCUGCUGCUAUGUAAAAAUGGUAAAUGGCCUGUAUUUGUAUAGCGCUUUACUAGUCCCUAAGGACCCCAAAGCGCUUUACACAUCCAGUCAUCCACACGCACAUUCACACACUGGUGAUGACAAGCUACAUUGUAGCCACAGCCACCCUGGGGCGCACUGACAGAGGCGAGGAUGCCGGACACUGGCACCACCGGGCCCUCUGACCACCACCAGUAGGCAACGGGUGAAGUGUCUUGCCCAAGGACACAACGACCAAAACUGUCCAAGUCGGGGCUCGAACCGGCAACUUUCCAAUUACAAGGCGAACUCCCAACUCUUGAACCACGAUCGCCCCAAAAUGUGUAUUUUAUAACCUGAUUCUUCUGUUUCACUUCUCUUCUGUUCUUUUAUUGAUAGACACACAGAGAGGGAGCUUUGAACCAGUUGAACUGACAGAAGUUGACACCAAAACAGGUUACCAAAAUAAAGUGUCACGGACCCGGCUCUGGAGGACUCGGGGGUCCGUGAGCAGUUUGGACUGUUGUUGUUAUUAUUAUUAUGAUUAUUAUUAUUAUUGUUGUUAUUUGGUGAUGUGUGUGUCUUUCUGCACAAUGCUGUGUUAGUCUGUGUUCCACUCAUUAUAUGUAUAGGCAGGGUGUGGGUGUGUACAUGUGUGGCUGGAGGAUGGAGAACAGCCACAUGCAGGCCUGAUGGGUGUGCCCCUGCAGGAGGACUGGCCACACCGGAAGUUCCUGCCACACACCUGUUGGUGAUCAGGGCUCGUUGGGGGAGCUACUUAGGAGAGUGUUGGAGCUCCCACCGGCGUGGGAUCAUUGAGUUGUCUACCCAAGUGGAAGAGUGGACCAGAACGGCAGCACACACAGGGUGUGCGAGAACACAACAGCGGGUAGCACGAGCACAGACGUUGGAGGGGAGCACACACACACAGGAUUCAAGGGAGCAACGGGGAGUUAUUGUGUUUACAGCCUUCGCUGUAAAUAAAGUGCACUGUUUGUAUUGCAGAACCAUGCGUUUUGGGUCCUCAUUCCCCCAUAUCCCCAUGGUCUGCCAGCCAGACCGUGACAUAAAGAGCCUAUGACCUAAAGGUUUAGGUGCAUACAUGCAAACUGCAAACAUGAGACAGUGGUAAAAUCUAACCAUGUACUUCUAGUUAAGUAUGUUUUGAAGAAUUUGCAAGUUUUCACCCACCUUAAAAAAACCUUGUUUACAAGGCAAGGUUUUCUAGCGCAGUGUUGUAUGCAGUUUUUUAUGUUAUAAUAAAUUUAGUGCAUGAAGUUGAGUGUUUUACAAAUGAGGCACUAAACUUAUUAAUUGAAUAAACAACAACCAGACUGGCUGUAAAGGCCUUGAACAUCAAUACAUGGAAACAUUAAUUUACUCCCUCCAGCUAAAGUCAUGACAUAUGAAUGAUAAUAUUAUGCAUGUCUUGUAGCCUUUCACUUCAGUUUUUACUUUUGAUACUUCAGCUGAUACAAUGAAGAUGAUAGAUGCACAUAUGCGUACAUAAUUUUAGAGCAUCUUUUAGUGCAGUUCUGUUGAGGUCUUUUUUUUCUAUUAUUAGUGUUACCUUAAUAAAACUCUUGAAUAC
ensembl:lncRNA